UCCUGGCUGGCUCAGUUGGUGGAGCAUGGGACUCUUGAUCUCGGAGUUGUGGGUUCGAGCCCCACAUUGGGUG
rnacentral:tRNA from 1 species